CAGCGCCACAAGUGGGAAUCACAAUUAUUGGGCCUAAAGCGUCCGUAGCCUGUCUGAUGAAUCUCUUGUGAAAUCGUUCGGCUUAACCGAACGGCGUGCAGGAGACACUGUCAAACUAGAGACCGGGAGGGGUCAGAGGUAUUCCAUGAGGAGCGGUAAAAUGCUAUAAUCCAUGGAGGACCACCGGUGGCGAAGGCGUCUGACCAGAACGGAUCUGACGGUGAGGGACGAAAGCCAGGGGAGCAAUCCGGAUUAGAUACCCGAGUAGUCC
rnacentral:rRNA from 1 species